GGUGGCUCAGUGGUAGAGUACAUGUCUUGCAUGCAUGAGGCCCUGGGUUCAAUUCCUCAGUACUA
rfam:Dipodomys ordii contig_65452, whole genome shotgun sequence.